rnacentral:rRNA from 1 species
GAUGUAGGCGGCUUGGCAAGUGUUGUGUGAAAGCCCGCAGCUUAACUGCGGAAUUGCAUGGCAAACUGCCUGGCUUGAGGUCGGUAGAGGUGUCUGGAACUCUAGGUGGAGCGGUGAAAUGCGUAGAUAUCUAGAGGAACGCCGGAGGCGAAAGCGGGACACUGGGCCGAUUCUGACGCUGAGAUCCGAAAGCGUGGGGAGCAAACAGGAUUAGAUACCCUGGUAGUCC